GCAUUCAGAUCACCAACGCUGUGACCUCGCUGUGUGAAUGGGAGCUGCUACAGGAAGGAAGCUUACAAACGAACUGCAUGGAUCCCACAUUUUGCUAAAAUCAAAUAGGACCUUUCUCCUCUUUGUUGAAUGCCGUAAUGCACAAGAAAUAAGCCAGCAGAAUGCUCACGUCCAAGAGAGAAGAACAACAUGGAUGAUAAAGACCAAUGUGGUUAUUUGUAAAUCUAAUCUUUUGAAAGGUCUGCCUUCAUCUACCACCUGAGCUGGCAUGAAACAACUUCUGGGGUUCAAAUCUUCUGAACAAUGAUGCAAGUCUUAGCAAAUUUCAAGAACAAUUUAAAGAGGAAAUAAAUAGCUUUUUGUUUAACUUAGAUCAAUUAUCUCCUUUUGCUCCCAGCUUCAUGCCAGGUACUCUCCAUUGUGCCUGGCAAAUAUGAAUCCCUGCCAUCAUGAAAAAAGAUUGGCUACGAGGAUUUUCCCUACAAUCCAAGGACUAUUUGAAGUUUGAAGUCUUUCAGCUCACACAACACUGGCUAUUUUCACCUUUGCCUUCAACUAUAAAGGCUGGGGUCUCUCUGCAGGAGUAGGUAAGUACAGCCCAUGGCGGAGAAGAGAGAAAAAGUCUUUGAGUGCAGUACAGGCUCUAUCACAAUCGAUGGGCCUCAUUAGCCAUUCUCAGCCUCAUAGAUAAUGCAGUUGUGGAUGGCAUCGUUUGGUCUAGUGAAGAAUUGCCCAGGAGAUUGUGUUGACAUCUGAGAUUUAUUUUAAUCCUUUUUUGCAGAUUUUAUAACGAGCAUUGUAACAAAGUAUGCCAAAGAAUCAUUACGUAUCUUAUAAAAUCUUAAUAACACAAAAAUUAGAAACGUUUUUCAUGCAUAUGUUCAAUUUGUUCAAAGUACUGAUUUUGCUUUGCUGAUUAGCAUAUACUGCCCUGUGAGGGGACCCUGCCUUUGAGAAGUCAUGCUACCUGGAUUGCUGUGUAUAUUUUUAAAUGAGUAGUAUGCAUGUUAUGUUUACCGACCGCUACUGUCAGAUCUUACAGUUUGAACUAAAUGAUGCAGAAUGGAC